AAACUUUCAACAACGGAUCUCUUGGCUCUGGCAUCGAUGAAGAACGCAGCGAAAUGCGAUACGUAAUGUGAAUUGCAGAAUUCAGUGAACCAUCGAAUCUUUGAACGCACAUUGCGCCCGCCAGUAUUCUGGCGGGCAUGCCUGUCCGAGCGUCAUUU
rnacentral:rRNA from 1 species